GUAGGGAUCCCUGGGUGGCUUCCCGUUGACAUGGACUAACAAUACCUCCCUUUGUCUACCCUGGAGACGCGGAGACAUGCUGGCGGGCCCUGUGGAAGAAGAGUGGUCCAGGACGGGGAACCUGCGCACGGAUCACCAGAGGUGCUGAGGCCUAGCUAGGCUUCCUGUUGACAUGGAGAAGACGACCUUCC
rnacentral:lncRNA from 12 species